UGAGGCCGAGUGUUAAGAGUAUUUGAAGGG
rnacentral:piRNA from 1 species